rnacentral:rRNA from 1 species
AUGUCUGUGCAGCCGUGUCGACAAGAUGGAAAUACAACAUGUACUACGAGGAGGGAAGGAGGCAUGGGGUUCAGAAAUUAUGAGGCUUUCAAUCAAGCUCUCUUGGCUAAACAAGCAUGGCGAAUCCUACAGUGCCCUGAGUCUCUUUGUGCGCGUGUUCUUGGAGCCCGUUAUUUCAAAGAUGGUUCCAUCAUUAAUGCCACUUGCUCAUCUAGUGCUUCGUAUACUUUCAAAAGCAUAUUAUAUGGGAGGGACCUGUUGAGGGAAGGUCAAUUCUGGCGAAUUGGUGAUGGAUCAAAAUUUUUAGUUCAUCAUGAUAACUGGAUUCCACGCAAGGGAAGUCUAAGACCACUGGGUCAGACUUUUGUGCACGAUAUUACAAGGGUUAGCGACCUUCUAAAUGUGCAAGGGGAUGAUUGGGACCAUUGUAGGAUCGAAAGUAUGUCUAGAGGGGGGUGA